GGUGCAAUGACUGUAGCGACAAGUAUCAGGCGUAAUACCUUCAGGUGUGUUCUCAAAGUAAAAUUUUUAAAAUCGUUCGAGUUACAGCAGACCAGAGACCACGUCGAGAUAUCGUAUUCCUUACGGAGCAGAAUUUAAUAAUAUUCUUCCUGCCAGCCGUUACGUCGUCUACACAAUUUUGAAAAACUUGUGAACUUCGACAUCCGUCUGAAUCCCUUUGUAAGAACUGAUGAAAUCGUGGAGAAUCACGAAAGAUUUAUAAAUCUGGAGCGUCAGCCGACGGCGGGCAUCGAUCGGAUGCGAGGGUCGUCGUCCGUACAAAGAGGCGUCGCACGUAUUCUGUUCAAGGAUCAAGCAUACCUCCAUCUCUAGGCUCGAUAUUUUCUUAGUAACCGAUCAAAAUCUCCUUGCCGAUAUAUACGAAGCGACGAUGGCGGACCAGAGUGAAGAACGCAUAUACCAAAAAAAUAUUGAAGCUGAAAUGUGCAUUUCUCAUUGGGAACGUUCAGAUCUCUCGUGCAAAAAGAUCAUCCCCUGCGAAGCCUAUUCUUCGUCUGUUCUUCGUGUGGCUGCGCCACAGGUCCAUAAACGGCAGGAUUAUUCCUUCAGGAACCGGAGAGCAGAAAGAUCGCCCUCGACCGAACGGCCUCUUCGAGGCUUCCAGGACUGUGGCAGGAGAAGCUUGGGGUUUGAGGUCAGACAGUCGUUGGCCCCGUUUCGCAGGAUGCCACCAUAUAUUUUCCCAGUACUGCAGGGCGAAGCACCCCUUUCGCAGCCGACAAAAAGUGGCUUCACGCAAAUAGGAUAUCGGGGACGCCCUCUUGGGUAAGAAUUAACGUCCCCUCGCGCUAGUGCGAAUCAAUCUGCGCAUAAGAAUGGAUCGUGGAGGAUAAGUAAAACGUGCUGAUAUAGGAAGAAACCUGCAUUACCGGCAGGUCGAUGCUAUGGGGUAACCGUGAAAGCGUUUCCUACCAACCGAACGGAAUUGAACGAGGGAAACAAAGGCAUUGACAUUCAAAAGGGACGCCUCUCGAGUUCGCCAGACGAAACCUUCGAGUGAAAUUGCGGAAUACGAAAAAUUGCACUAGCAUUUUCACUCUCCCUGCCACGUUCGUACAGCAUCGUUAAAAAUACCUAGUCAACCAGCUUUUAACUUUGGCAAAAGCCACGAUUCUUGCAGCCUUACGUUCGUCACUGAGUAUUCCAGGCAUCCCUUUGAUCCGCUUAGUUUUUGAACACGGAAUUUCGAACUUUUGGAAAAAUCGCAAAUUACUUCUGAGAAAAAUUGCACGAGGUCACUCGGGUCGUGAGUAUCGUGCGAAAUUUGGAAUUUUACAAAAUUUUCGGUAUUAGGGACCAAGAGGAGAGUUUGGCAUUGGAGGUACCCUCGGAAAUUCCGAAAAACACUAAGCACUUCUCGGGGGAGCUAAAGCAGCUCCAUACUGUAAAAUUAGAAGGAACGUUCAACUCUACCAUUUGAAUUUCUGCCAAGGUACUUUCUGCGCUUGUGUUUCUCUUCUUCUACCCCUUGAUGGCUGCUCCGUUCUGCCAGCCAGGAUGGCACCAAUGCCCUCCUUAGAAAGUUUCACGAAUCUCCAACCCACUGGCAGUGUGUUCUCCCUGCCUGACGUCUCGAGGAUCCAAGUUCAUCUCGAUCCAAACCAGCUUUCAGUAUUCAAGGCGUUACGGACUGAUGAGAAUAGGGGAUGCGAGCACUAGACAGCCAGAGGGAGUAUACAGGGGGAGGACAGCAUUUUUCUACACCUUGUAAAACCCCGUAUUAUCCCCUUACGGGUGGAAAAUUGGAUUACGGGUGCGGAUCGUCUGAAAAAUUUUAUCAAGAAUUCCAUAUCAGUGGUUUCGUACUCCUGUACAUUAUGCGCACGGCAAAGCUUCCUUAAAGCAUAAUGGCAUUUUCUACAGACACUCUUUGUUCCAUGAGGGUAGCAACCCUCUUCGACAUCCACCCCACUUUCUUUGCGUCGAUCGAUACCAGGAUGCAACUCACGGUCACGACGUAAAACAUUUUCGUUGCAGACUGUUCUGCAAGACAUAAAAAAAAAAGAAAAAAAAAUACAGGGUCACAGCGGUCUAAAAAUUUGAGAAUUUUCUUUUUCGUUCACCUGUACCGCAGCUGUUGUUAUUGACUAAGAAGCAGAUUUCUUAGGUUAAACAAAAUGUACAAAGCAUUCACAGAGCCAAGUAAAACUGUCCAAGAUCCAAAAAUUCGUAGCAUAUCAAACGAGGCGAGUUUACGUACGAUGCAGUCUCCGUGUAUCAGCCAGGAAUAGCAUCGGGACGCUACUCGGGUGGUAGGAGCGUUCAGCAGUUCAAGGUUAGGGACGCGGGGCGUCGGCACCGCGUGGUAGCGUCGGCGUGCGUCCCGACGCCCGAAAUACAUACCCCCCGACAGAGUAUAAAUACUCGAAGGAAAACCAAGAAAGAGAACGUCGAAAGAUAUUCGGUGCAUCCCACUAACCUUGCACCAACUGCAGUUAAAAAUAUGAACUUAUAGCGAGGGAGUUCCUUGUGGGCACGUGAAAGGAAAGAGAGUCGCGGAGUCACGUUCGAUAAUUUUUGAAAAAUCCAAAAAAAAUUAUCAUUCCCCUGUACAGCAAUCGUCUCUUUCAAUGAUUACACGAAAUUCUUGUCGGUUUAAGUAAUUUAAAAAAAUAGAAUUUUUAUCUAAAUCGAUUUUUUAUCCACCAAUUAAUAAAUAAUUUUCACACAGAUAUUCUUUCCCAUGGAUAUGUUUGCCUUGUUGAUGCACGAUAGUAAGAACGUGACCUUUGAUGUACAUGCACGGCCCACGAUGUGUCGAUGACACUGUGGUCUAUUAAGAUACCCCGAAGAGCCACCUCCUACCACGUUGCGGGUUCGUUUGAGAAACCCUGAAGGGCCGACGCACCGUGCAGGGUGAACGCACUCGCCAGUUUUGCAGUACACGUAUGUACUGUACGUAGUGUGCUACGUAGCUGGCAGCAUUAUGAGGUCUCGCCUGAAAUGGAAUAGUGGAGUCGAGAGAGUAGAGCCAGCCAUCACACUGCACAAUAUAUAACCUAAACGUACGUAUAGAUAAACGUAUUACAUGGGGUACCGUGCCCAUAGCCCCAUACGUUUAAACCA